rnacentral:tRNA from 1 species
AUUAAUGUAGUUUAACAAUAAAACAAUAUAUUUUCAUUAUAUAAAAGUCAUUUAAGACCAUAAAUA